rnacentral:rRNA from 1 species
AGAGUUUGAUCAUGGCUCAGAGCGAACGCUGGCGGCAGGCUUAACACAUGCAAGUCGAGCGGGCGUAGCAAUACGUCAGCGGCAGACGGGUGAGUAACGCGUGGGAACGUACCUUUUGGUUCGGAACAACACAGGGAAACUUGUGCUAAUACCGAAUAAGCCCUUACGGGGAAAGAUUUAUCGCCGAAAGAUCGGCCCGCGUCUGAUUAGCUAGUUGGUGAGGUAAUGGCUCACCAAGGCGACGAUCAGUAGCUGGUCUGAGAGGAUGAUCAGCCACAUUGGGACUGAGACACGGCCCAAACUCCUACGGGAGGCAGCAGUGGGGAAUAUUGGACAAUGGGCGCAAGCCUGAUCCAGCCAUGCCGCGUGAGUGAUGAAGGCCCUAGGGUUGUAAAGCUCUUUUGUGCGGGAAGAUAAUGACGGUACCGCAAGAAUAG